CGGCCACGGGGCUGCCCCCGUCCGUGGACUUUUUUAUCACCUGAUUUCACCUCGCAAAACUUCAAAGCUUCAAGUUAUCAGAGAGGUUUGGGAAGUUGUUUUUAUUUAUUUAAUUAAUUUAUUUUUCGAGGAAGACGAGCCCCGAGCUGACACCUGCUGCCAAUUCUCCUCUUUUUGCCCCGGGAGAGUGGUCCCGAGCUAACAUCCGUGCCCAUCCUCCUCCCGUUGAUAGGCGGGACGCCAACCACAGCGUGGCUCACCAAGCGGCGCCACGUCCGCACCCCGGAUCCGAACCGGCGAACCCCUGGCCGACAAAACGGAACGUGCGAACUUAACUGCUGUGCCGCCGGGCUGGCCCUUCGGGAAGUUCUUUUCAGGACACGGGCCAUAAACUAGAAUCACCGCUACAGGUUUAUCGGAGCGACAUCAGCGUUCGUGGUGGAUUGAGUCGUCCCCUCUGUCUCUCCCCUCCAGGGGACAACCAAAGGGACGUCUAUCGACCCACCCACCAAGGAUUCCCCCCCCCCGCAUGGCACAGCAGGAUGCCUGAGAGAUCCACGCAGCCCUACAGCGGCAAGUCACAUUCGCACAGUCAAAAUUCAAUGGCAGAGGGGGCUGGCCCCGUGGCCGAGUGGUUAAGUUCGCACGCUCCGCUGCAGGCGGCCCAGUGUUUCGUGGGUUCGAAUCCUGGGCGCGGACAUGGCACUGUUCAUCAGACCACGCUGAGGCAGCGUCCCACAUGCCACAACUAGAAGAACCCACAACGAAGAAUACACAACUAUGUACCGGGGGCUUUGGGGAGAAAAAGGAAAAAAUAAAAUCUUUAAAAAAAAAAUUCAAUGGCAGAGACAAAACGUUAAGGUCAGCGAGAGGGAAGAGAAUAACCGGCCCAGGAGCAACGGUGUGAAGAACAUGGAGAAGACGGGUCCUAGACGCCGGGGUCCCCGGAGCAGCGAUUUCAUCAGAGGCCCGCGAACGUCCACGAUCUCCACACCACGUUUAUGGCCGACUGCGUGUGUGGGUCCUUUGGAAUCGACCAGGCUACCGUCUGGGCCACUUUGGGACAUCGUGUCUAGCUGCCCCGAGCGGUGGAGCUGUCGUUCGAGUGUAAGAUGGGGCCCGUCCGGGGAGAGCAUGGGGACGGGGAAAGGGAGGCCGCGGGAAGUCACAGAGUCUGAGGUGUUCGGGGGAGACCGACUCUUCUAAAGUGGAGGAUGCCGGGCAGCCGGUGGCGCCCGACAAGCGGCCUCCUCACCGGCCGGACGGAUCAGCCUCGCGGGGGCGGGCGAUGGGGAGGCGUUCGUCCAGGUCAGGUCAGGUCGGGGGAGGGAGGAUGCAGCGCCGGCCGGCCUGGUGCGUCGCCUGGUCCCGAUCCACCCCGCGUCUCGUUUCUCGGGCCGGGACGAGUACAGGCGGGGAGGCCGACUCGGUCACGGAAAGCGGCCUUGGGGAGGUUUUGGCGAACGUCCCUGUCCCAGGGCCGUCUGCCGACUAGGGGACGGAGUCCUCCUCCAUGCGCCUUCUCGCCCCCAGUCGGGCGGGUUGUGGGUCGCGCGGUCGACUUGGCCAUUUCACCGGAGGCGUCCUGCCUGCCGGGGCUCCCUCCCUCGGGCCGGUGCGAGCGGUCCUCGGGCGGCCCGGGAAUUUGGGCCGCAGCGAACGAACGAACGAAGCCCGUCCCUCCUGCGUCGGCACGGAUGAGACACAGCCCUGGUGGAUGGAGCCGCUUUCCUCGGGUUUCCUUUUGCUUUCGGCCGCUGCUGCCACCAAACCUCCCUAAACGAUAGGAAUGAAAACGGGAACCGUUGGCAUAAUAAAAGCGUUUUGGUUGGCGUGUUUCUUGGCUUUUGGGGACUCGAGAGGUAUGAUGGAUGAUCUCCGAUUGUCCUUUGGAAGGAAGGUCUAUUUCAUCCCAGUCGCACGAACCCCGCAAACGUGCGGCUGGACGAGGGAGGGAGGGAGGGAGGGAGGGAGGGAGGCCAACCACGGGAUUUCCGCACGACCAGCUGAUGGACACGACCGCCCCCGUGAGCCGGGCGGAGGGCAGCCGCCCGGGUCUCGCAGCUACGUGCCCGCGGAACCCUCGGGACUGCGAGAAGCCCGAGCGACCCGCAGUCACGCGGCGCUCGGCGCGGACAUCUGGUCGGCCCGCGCGCCACGGGACCCGGGGGCCGAUUCCGGGCCGGGCCGCUGGUCGACCCGGCAGGGCGGCGGCCCCGGGGGCCUCGCCGCUGCUCGUCCGCAGGCUCCAGGGAGCCCUCGGGGCUCCGAGAAGCCCGAGCGCCCCGUGGCCCCGCGACCCCGCGGCGCUCGGCGCGGACAUCUGGUCGACCCGCGUGCCACCAGACCCGGGGGCCGGGUCGCCGGUCGACCCGGCAGGGCGGCGGCCCCGGCGGCCUCGCCGCUGCUCGUCCGCCGGGUCGCCGGAGCCCUCGAGCCUCCGAGAAGGCCGAGCGCCCCGCGGUCCCGCGCCGCUCGGCGCUCGGCGCGGACAUCUGGUCGACCCGCGCGCCACGGGACCCGGGGGCCGAGUCCGGGCCGGGCCGCUGGUCGACCCGGCAGGGCGGCGGCCCCGGGGGCCUCGCGGCCGCUCGUCCGCAGCCUCCAGGGAGCCCCGAGGGGCUCCGAGAAGCCCGUGCGCCCCGCGGCCCGCGGCGCUCGGCGCGAACAUCUGGUCGACCCGCGCGCCCCGGGCCGGGGACCAAGUCCAGGCGGGACAGCUGGUCGACCCGGCAGGGCGGCGGCCCCCGGGGAGUCGCGCGCGCGAGUCCGCGGGGUCUCUGGAGCCGACGGAGGCCAGGGAGCCCACCCAGACCGCCGAGAGCCCCGCGGCCCCGCGGCGCUCGGCGCGGACAUCUGGUCGACCCGCGCGCCCCGGGCCGGGGACCAAGUCCAGGCGGGACAGCUGGUCGACCCGGCAGGGCGGCGGCCCCCGGGGAGUCGCGCGCGCGAGUCCGCGGGGUCUCUGGAGCCGACGGAGGCCAGGGAGCCCACCCAGACCGCCGAGAGCCCCGCGGCCCCGCGGCGCUCGGCGCGGACAUCUGGUCGGCCCGCGCGCCCCGGGCCGGGGACCAAGUCCGGGCGGGACAGCUGGUCGACCCGGCAGGGCGGCGGCCCCGGGGAGUCGCGCGCGCGAGUCCGCGGGGUCUCUGGAGCCGACGGAGGCCAGGGAGCCCACCCAGACCGCCGAGAGCCCCGCGGCCCCGCGGCGCUCGGCGCGGACAUCUGGUCGACCCGCGCGCCCCGGGCCGGGGACCAAGUCCGGGCGGGACAGCUGGCCGACCCCUCCGCCCGGCCCGGCCUCCCGCCGCCGCACCUUCCCUCUCUCGCCCCACCCACGCGUCCGCGGCGGGUCGAACCACGCGGCGGGAUGCUGGUCGACCCGCACCGCGGACGGAGAGAGAGGGAGGCGCGGGGCGGGGAAGCGCAAGGGCCACGCACCGGCCGGCACGCCGACCCCGCCGGCACG
rnacentral:lncRNA from 1 species